rnacentral:rRNA from 1 species
UACGAAGGGGGGCUAGCGUUGCUCGGAAUCACUGGGCGUAAAGCGCACGUAGGCGGACUCUUAAGUCGGUGGUGAAAUCCUGGAGCUCAACUCCAGAACUGCCUUCGAUACUGAGAGUCUUGAGUCCGGGAGAGGUGAGUGGAACUGCGAGUGUAGAGGUGAAAUUCGUAGAUAUUCGCAAGAACACCAGUGGCGAAGGCGGCUCACUGGACCGGUACUGACGCUGAGGCGCGAAAAGCGUGGGGAGCAAACGGGG